rnacentral:tRNA from 1 species
GCCAAGGUGGCAGAGCGGCUAUGCGUUCGACUGCAGAUCGAAUCCAUGAGGGUUCAAAUCCCUCCCUUGGCU